rnacentral:snoRNA from 1 species
AUCACCGCAUUGAUGAAGCAUUUUGGAUGUAAACUUUUCAGUUCUGCUGAGGCGCAAACAACCAUGCGGAUACUUCCAUGUUGCCUUCCUUCUGAGCCAACAAUGA